GCUUUGAUGGCUCAGUUGGUAGAGCGUGAGUCUCAUAAUCUCAUGUUCUUGAGUUUGAGAAUCACUCAGAGCA
rfam:Smittium mucronatum strain ALG-7-W6 scaffold-8099, whole genome shotgun sequence.